rnacentral:rRNA from 1 species
CCUACGGGGCGCAGCAGUGGGGGAUAUUGGACAAUGGGGGGAACCCUGAUCCAGCCAAGUAGCGUGAAGGAUGACUGCCCUAUGGGUUGUAAACUUCUUUUAUAUGGGAAUAAAAUGUUCCACGUGUGGGAUUUUGUAUGUACCAUAUGAAUAAGGAUCGGCUAACUCCGUGCCAGCAGCCGCGGUAAUACGGAGGAUCCGAGCGUUAUCCGGAUUUAUUGGGUUUAAAGGGAGCGUAGGUGGAUUGUUAAGUCAGUUGUGAAAGUUUGCGGCUCAACCGUAAAAUUGCAGUUGAAACUGGCAGUCUUGAGUACAGUAGAGGUGGGCGGAAUUCGUGGUGUAGCGGUGAAAUGCGUAGAUAUCACGAAGAACUCCGAUUGCGAAGGCAGCUCACUGGCUGCAACUGACACUGAGGCUCGAAAGUGUGGGUAUCAAACAGGAUUAGAUACCCGAGUAGUC